CAGUAGCCACGGGAAUACGGAGGGUGCAAGCGUUAUCCGGAUUUAUUGGGUUUAAAGGGUCCGUAGGCGGACUUAUAAGUCAGUGGUGAAAGCCUGUCGCUUAACGAUAGAACUGCCAUUGAUACUGUAAGUCUUGAGUAUAUUUGAGGUAGCUGGAAUAAGUAGUGUAGCGGUGAAAUGCAUAGAUAUUACUUAGAACACCAAUUGCGAAGGCAGGAUACCAAGAUAUAACUGACGCUGAGGGACGAAAGCGUGGGUAGCGAACAGGAUUAGAUACCCCUGUAGUCCCUGUCUCUUAUAA
rnacentral:rRNA from 1 species